rnacentral:rRNA from 1 species
AUUGAACGCUGGCGGCAUGCUUUACACAUGCAAGUCGAACGGCAGCGCGGGCUUCGGCCUGGCGGCGAGUGGCGAACGGGUGAGUAAUGCAUCGGAACGUGCCCAGUAGUGGGGGAUAGCCCGGCGAAAGCCGGAUUAAUACCGCAUACGACCUGAGGGUGAAAGCGGGGGACCGAAAGGCCUCGCGCUAUUGGAGCGGCCGAUGUCGGAUUAGCUAGUUGGUGGGGUAAAGGCUUACCAAGGCGACGAUCCGUAGCUGGUCUGAGAGGACGACCAGCCACACUGGGACUGAGACACGGCCCAGACUCCUACGGGAGGCAGCAGUGGGGAAUUUUGGACAAUGGGGGAAACCCUGAUCCAGCCAUGCCGCGUGCGGGAAGAAGGCCUUCGGGUUGUAAACCGCUUUUGUUCGGGAAGAAAUCCUCUGGGCUAAUACCCCGGGGGGAUGACGGUACCGGAAGAAUAAGCACCGGCUAACUACGUG